rnacentral:rRNA from 1 species
UACAGAGGUCUCAAGCGUUGUUCGGAUUCAUUGGGCGUAAAGGGUGCGUAGGUGGCGCGGUAAGUCGGGUGUGAAAUUUCGGAGCUUAACUCCGAAACUGCAUUCGAUACUGCCGUGCUUGAGGACUGGAGAGGAGACUGGAAUUCCUGGUGUAGCGGUGAAAUGCGCAGAUAUCAGGAGGAACACCGGUGGCGAAGGCGGGUCUCUGGGCCGAAACUGACGCUGAGGAGCGAAAGCGUGGGGAGCGAACAGG